GCUGGGAUAUGAUGUAAACAAAAGGCCGAAUUAUAGCACCUUGUCUGGCUUUAUGUCAGUGCAGGGUUGCAGUGACAAAAAACAGGACCGAAGCGAACACUGAUCCCAGC
rnacentral:snoRNA from 10 species